rnacentral:lncRNA from 1 species
CCAAGGUAAAGAAGUGGGAGGAAAGUUAAGCUCAAAGAGAAUAUCUUUGAAGAGCAGCGAGCUUUGGGACCUUAAAAACCUAUUUAUCAUGAUAAGGCAGUAGACGUAUAUUCUUCCUCCAUCUCGUAUAUAUAGUAGCAUCUCCUAUCCUCUCGAAAGGUAUUUGGGUAUGCUUGACAGAGGAUGUAGGGAAAGUCAUUUCUCAUGGG